rnacentral:lncRNA from 1 species
AUUUGUCAAGUCCUAGAACCGGGUGGUCCAGACACCUCACUGAUCUAAGAACAUGAGUGGAGAGAAGGAAGAGGCAUCGCUCAGAAUGUUCGGGGCUUAUGGUGAGCCAGAGGAGAGGAGGGAUGUGCUGGAAAGCUCUGGCGUUUCCUCUCAGCCUGAGCCACAAGUGCAGCAGCAACUGGGCAGUCUGUUGGGAGUGCCCUGGCAGCCCCCGGGCCCCCCAAUACAGCACAGCCCUGCUGAUCAAGAGACAAGCACGGUGACCCAGCAGCAGUGGCACCUCCAGGGCCUGGGUAGAUCUGAGCUCCAGGCCGCUGGGCUCCCUGAUGCACAACCAGGAGAAGCAGCAGAGUCCAGCCCAAGCUUCCUACUGGGUUCUGAGGUUGGUG